GACGAACCGUACGAACGUUAUUCGGAAUUACUGGGCUUAAAGGGUGCGUAGGCGGCGCAGUAAGUUGGGUCGUGAAAUCCCUCGGCUUAACCGAGGAAUUGCGCCCAAAACUACUGUGCUCGAGGGAGAUAGAGGUGAGCGGAACUUAGGGUGGAGCGGUGAAAUGCGUAGAGAUCGGGAGGAACACCCGUGGCGAAGGCGGCCAUCUGGACCAGCACUGACGCUGAGGCACGAAAGCGUGGGGAGCAAACAGG
rnacentral:rRNA from 1 species